UUGGGCUCUUUAGAUUGCACAAAAUGUGACCCAUAAAUGAGCAUGAACCCUGAAGCAAAACAUCUCAAAUGACUGGCGCAGUGGGAGGCUGCUCAUAAAACACUUCCAUCCAACAAACACACACACGCUGGCAGGCAGCUUGUCUCAAAUCUCUUGGAUCAAAUCAUUCUUGAAUGCUAAGCAGCACAGUCUGUUGUUUUGUUGUCCAUGUUGCUAAGCGACCAUCAGCAAGUCAAAGGCUGAGAGAAAAGACAAAUCCCAAAAGAAAAUGAGACGUGGUGGAGGGCAGGAAAUUGCAAGUUUUUAAAAGCCAGUCAAUGUGGGACACGAGGUCUCUCGAGAAGAUGGUGAAUAGGACGACUCUAAGCACACAGAGAGUGCUCCAUGCACACAUUCUGGGAGUGUGUGAGGAGGUGUGUGCAGGAUGCUGAGAGAAGCAUUCGUGAGGAGUGUGACAUGAAGGCAGAAAGACAGAAACAGGCCCUACAGGACAGACAUGAAGAGAAGAUAUCUAAGCUACAAAACAGGAUACAGCAGCUGCAGGACAGUCUGGAGCAGGCCUGCAGGGAGCGCAUUCAGUAUGAAGCAGAGUUUAAGAAGGUGCAGGCCAGCUACAGGCGGUUUGUGGACCUGACUGAUUCCUCCCUCCACUCUGAUUACCUCUUAAAACUGCGCAGACUGGGGAGAGAGCCAGGUCUCACGGACACUGCGACACAGACUGAUGAGAUCACCUCCUAGCUUGUGAUGGCAGUGUGCACACUGUCUGGGUAUUUGACAUGUCAUAGCAGUCACAGCAGUGUCCUGCACGACACGCUGUACUUUGUCUAAAACCAUUUGAAACAUGUAUUAAUGUUAAAAGAUUGUGGUAUCUAAAAUAUACUUUCACUAAUACAUUUAUCUUUACAAAGUAUUUUUUAGUAAUGAAACAUGUCAACUCUUUCAUAAUAAAUAGAAUAUGUAUUGUGUUGCAAGAUAAAAUCUAGUACAGCACAUUUUGCUGUCUGCAUGUAAAACUAUGUUGAACUAAUUGGUUUAUCAGAUCAAAUUUUAAUAAAUAAUUCUG
ensembl:lncRNA